rnacentral:rRNA from 1 species
UACGAAGGGUGCAAGCGUUACUCGGAAUUACCGGGCGUAAAGCGUGCGUAGGUGGUUUGUUAAGUCUGAUGUGAAAGCCCUGGGCUCAACCUGGGAAUUGCAUUGGAUACUGGCAGGCUAGAGUGCGGUAGAGGAUGGCGGAAUUCCCGGUGUAGCAGUGAAAUGCGUAGAGAUCGGGGAGGAACAUCUGUGGCGAAGGCGGCCAUCUGGACCAGCACUGACACUGAGGCACGAAAGCGUGGGGGAGCAAACAGG